AUUUCUUCUCGGCCUUGUGGCUAAGAUCAAAGUGAAGUAUCUGUUCUUUAUUUAAAUUUGAAUUUAGUUAUCAGAAAUGUAAUGAAAUACUAACUAAAUUAAUUUUUGAAAUUUACACCGACU
rnacentral:snRNA from 1 species